UAGCAUAUCAAUAAGCGGAGGAAAAGAAACUAACAAGGAUUCCCCUAGUAACUGCGAGUGAAGCGGGAAAAGCUCAAAUUUAAAAUCUGGCAGUCUUUGGCUGUCCGAGUUGUAAUCUAGAGAAGUGUUAUCCGCGCUGGACCGUGUACAAGUCUCCUGGAAUGGAGCGUCAUAGAGGGUGAGAAUCCCGUCUUUGACACGGACUACCAGGGCUUUGUGAUGCGCUCUCAAAGAGUCGAGUUGUUUGGGAAUGCAGCUCAAAAUGGGUGGUAAAUUCCAUCUAAAGCUAAAUAUUGGCGAGAGACCGAUAGCGAACAAGUACCGUGAGGGAAAGAUGAAAAGAACUUUGGAAAGAGAGUUAAACAGUACGUGAAAUUGCUGAAAGGGAAACGCUUGAAGUCAGUCGCGUCGUCCAGGGAUCAACCUUGCUUUUGCUUGGUGCACUUUCUGGUUGACGGGUCAGCAUCAAUUUUGACCAUUGGAAAAAGAUCAAGGGAAUGUGACAUCUUUGGAUGUGUUAUAGCCCUUGGUUGCAUACGAUGGUUGGGAUUGAGGAACUCAGCACGCCGCAAGGCCGGGUUUUUAACCACGUACGUGCUUAGGAUGCUGGCAUAAUGGCUUUAAUCGACCCGUCUUGAAACACGGACCAAGGAGUCUAACAUGCCUGCGAGUGUUUGGGUGGAAAACCCGAGCGCGUAAUGAAAGUGAAAGUUGAGAUCCCUGUCGUGGGGAGCAUCGACGCCCGGACCAGACCUUUUGUGACGGUUCCGCGGUAGAGCAUGUAUGUUGGGACCCGAAAGAUGGUGAACUAUGCCUGAAUAGGGUGAAGCCAGAGGAAACUCUGGUGGAGGCUCGUAGCGAUUCUGACGUGCAAAUCGAUCGUCAAAUUUGGGUAUAGGGGCGAAAGACUAAUCGAACCAU
rnacentral:rRNA from 1 species